rnacentral:pre_miRNA from 1 species
GGGAUAGAUUAUUGUAUUCGAUUGUAUUCACGGUGUGAAACAAGCGAUUACGCUGUUUUUAAACGGAAAGUGAAUCAAUUAACAUAAUAGACUCCC